AUAAAAAUCAACUUUGUUGGUGAAUCAUAAUAACUUCUCGGACCGCAUGGCCUCGUGCUGGCGGUGCUUCAUUCAAAUAUCUGCCCUAUCAACUGUCGAUGGUAGGAUAGAGGCCUACCAUGGUUGCAACGGGUAACGGGGAAUAAGGGUUCGAUUCCGGAGAGGGAGCCUGAGAAACGGCUACCACAUCCAAGGAAGGCAGCAGGCGCGCAAAUUACCCAAUCCCAACACGGGGAGGUAGUGACAAUAUGUAACAAUAUACGGCCUUAUACGUCGUAUAAUUGGAAUGAGUACAAUUUAAAUCCCUUAACGAGGAACAAUUGGAGGGCAAGUCUGGUGCCAGCAGCCGCGGUAAUUCCAGCUCCAAUAGCGUAUAUUAAAGUUGUUGCAGUUAAAAAGCUCGUAGUUGGACCUUGGACCUGGACAGGCGGUCCGCCUCACGGCGAGUACUGUCUUGCUGGGUCUUUCCUCUUGGUGAUCUGUUGUUUCGGCAG
rnacentral:rRNA from 1 species